rnacentral:rRNA from 1 species
UCUUAGCUUGCUAAGGCCGAUGGCGACCGGCGCACGGGUGAGUAACACGUAUCCAACCUGCCGUCUACUCUUGGACAGCCUUCUGAAAGGAAGAUUAAUACAAGAUGGCAUCAUGAGUUCACAUGUUCACAUGAUUAAAGGUAUUCCGGUAGACGAUGGGGAUGCGUUCCAUUAGAUAGUAGGCGGGGUAACGGCCCACCUAGUCUUCGAUGGAUAGGGGUUCUGAGAGGAAGGUCCCCCACAUUGGAACUGAGACACGGUCCAAACUCCUACGGGAGGCAGCAGUGAGGAAUAUUGGUCAAUGGGCGAGAGCCUGAACCAGCCAAGUAGCGUGAAGGAUGACUGCCCUAUGGGUUGUAAACUUCUUUUAUAAAGGAAUAAGGUCGGGUAUGCAUACCCGUUUGCAUGUACUUUAUGAAUAAGGAUCGGCUAACUCCGUGCCAGCAGCCGCGGUAAUACGGAGGAUCCGAGCGUUAUCCGGAUUUAUUGGGUUUAAAGGGAGCGUAGAUGGAUGUUUAAGUCAGUUGUGAAAGUUUGCGGCUCAACCGUAAAAUUGCAGUUGAUACUGGAUAUCUUGAGUGCAGUUGAGGCAGGCGGAAUUCGUGGUGUAGCGGUGAAAUGCUUAGAUAUCACGAAGAACUCCGAUUGCGAAGGCAGCCUGCUAAGCU